GGCGACUGAGGAAGGCAGCAGUGUUCUGAUGUGAUGCUCAGGCUUCUCAAUGACAUGAACAGGCUGCGGAGGCUGCUCCUGUGGGAAGCAAAAGGUGAAAAAAAGAGAAAGUGAAAGGAAGUGAAAAUGGACUCUUUUCCAGAUUAGGUGAAACAGAACAUGACAAUUGAAAUGAAUGAGGUGGGUAAAAUCAUGCUGGAUGGAAUGCAAAUGAAAUUAAAGGAAAAUUGAAUUCAAGGAGAUAGGGGGCAUGAAGCAGAUUUAUGUCAAAUGAAAAAUAUAGACAAAAAUGUAAAGGGGACGAACUGGUAUAAUAAGGCAGUGAUUGAAAAUGGAGCAAUGUAAAAGGAUGUGAAAGGGAACAAUGAGAAAGUGCAAAUGAAGACCAAGAGCUAGGCAAAGAAAUAUGAAGAAACUGAUGUCUUAUGGUACUAAAGUGGAUAAUUUCAAUCAUAAUGUAAAAAAAUAUUCAGACGCAUACUACUACUGAAGGAAAAUAUAAAAUGAACGUUGCAAUAAAAGAGAUGUUGAGAAAAGUGACAUUCUAACUAGUCUCUUUAGAAAGAGAGAGAGGGACAAAUGUAAAGAAAUUAAGCAGAUCUAUAAUCUCCAUUACCAUAGUUAAGUUGUGAUAAGCUUACAUUUGUCUGUUAUUUUGUCAAUCUUUAUUACUAACCAGGAUAUGUAAAAUUUUAAAAUAAAGAACACUAUAAAAUUAAGAACAGCAUAUCAUAUUGCUGAUCAUUUGACAUCAUAUUGAUGUGUCUCUCAGCUUUCAGUUAUGUGAAAUGAAUUUUGUAAUCCCAGUGUAUCCAGUCAUGGGUGGAUUCCAAAUCCUGUCCUUUCUGUGUGACUGUGACUACUCGACAAACAUGGUAAAUCCUGUCUCUAUCAGACCUAAGAGUGAAAUAGAAGAAGGGAAAGAGAGUGAAUUUAAGCUUCUGUAGCAGAGCUGUAAAUUGGAUGAACCUUGGAAAACAUAGCCAAACUGUGUCUAAGGCUAGCAGUUCUUCUUUAGCAUUUUUUUUUAUUCAAAGCUCUGAGAAUUGAUAAUGCUACUCACUAAAACUCCGGCAAAAAUUCACGCGUCUAUCUUCUAUCACUAGGAAAAUUCCUGUGAAAAGGGAAUGAAAAUAUGUUUGACACAAAAUGGAGGAUCUAGUCUCAUUAGUAAAAGAAAUCAUGAAACAGAAUAUGCUGUUAUAACGAUUUUUUUUUUCCUGUCAAGGCAAAGGGUUGGCAAGGCAAACUUACAUUUUAGUGUUAUGAAAGUGACAGGUGAGUAUAUUUCCAAGCAUAUUACCUGUGAAUCUGAUAACCAAUGACUUUCUUUUAAACCCUGGAAAAUUACUGAAGUUCUAAUGCAGUUUUAUAUUCCUGAAGAUGUUUGUGACUCAUAAAAUACUGUAUCCAUUACAAUAAACACACAGAAGUGAUGCACUUAAUUAAUUAAUUGAUUUUACUUUGUCAUAUUUUCCAUAUAUUUGCUAUAGAAAAAUAACAUUCAGUUUGGAAUCCUUUAAUAUUAGAGCAAAACAUCAGAAAGUUCCAAAAUGUAUGUGCAUUUCCAAGGAGAGAAUGCAGUAUUUACAUGCCUGCCUGUAACAUCAGCCACCUUGAAUACCUUCUACUUUUGCUUUCUGGAGACAGGGAGAUAAAAAUUCUUUACAUUCUAAGCAGCACUGCAAAAACAGACAAAUCAAUCACAUUCAUCAGCCACACAUUUAUAAAUAAAAUGCAGACAAAUAUCCUGCUAUAAAAAUGGUAAAAGAAUGAUGAGGAAAUAAGGCUUUCUAAGCUACUUAACAACAUUCUUAUGAUUAAAAUCCAUAAUCUGUCAAAUUCAC
ensembl:lncRNA